GCGGCGAGCGAAGCGGGAAGAGCCCAGCGCCGAAUCCCCGGGCCCCUCCGAGGGCCCGCGGGAACUGUGGCGUAAGGAAGUCGACCGCGGACCAGGGCUUCCGGGAGUCGGUUUGUUUUGUAGCGCAGCCCAAAGGCGGGUGGUAAACUCCAUCCAAGGCUAAAUACCUGCACGAGACCGAUAGAGC
rnacentral:rRNA from 1 species